AGAGUUGAUUCUGGCUCAGGAUGAACGCUAGCGACAGGCUUAACACAUGCAAGUCGAGGGGCAGCAUAAAAGUAGCAAUACUUGGUGGCGACCGGCGCACGGGUGAGUAACGCGUAUGCAACCUACCUAUCAGAGGGGAAUAACCCGGCGAAAGUCGGACUAAUACCGCAUAAAACAGGGGCACCGCAUGGUGAUAUUUGUUAAAGAAAUUCGCUGAUAGAUGGGCAUGCGUUCCAUUAGGUAGUUGGUGAGGUAACGGCUCACCAAGCCGACGAUGGAUAGGGGAACUGAGAGGUUGGUCCCCCACACUGGUACUGAGACACGGACCAGACUCCUACGGGAGGCAGCAGUGAGGAAUAUUGGUCAAUGGGCGGGAGCCUGAACCAGCCAAGUCCGCGUGAAGGAAGAAGGAUCUAUGGUUCGUAAACUUCUUUUGCAGGGGAAUAAAGUGCAGGACGUGUCCUGUUUUGUAUGUACCCUGAGAAUAAGGAUCGGCUAACUCCGUGCCAGCCGCCGC
rnacentral:rRNA from 1 species